CACACAUUCUAAACGUGGUCCCUGUUGGGAUCAACAAGGCCCAGAAGGCUCGUUCAUGAAACAAAGUGUUCUGGGAGUUGAAUGGACUGAACACACCUUGGGACACUAGAACUGGAGGGGCGUGGGAGUCAAAGGUCACGUUAAGUGGUGACGUCUCCGAUUUCCUAGUCAGUCUAAAAAUAGCAUCGACAUCCGGGUCUCCGUUUACAGUUCCCUGUUGAAUUGUGGGUGAUGUCCAGCUGCUGGAUAACCUUUUUGGAAUAUAAUUAUAAUAAAUAUAAGUA